rnacentral:ncRNA from 1 species
UGCUCAUCCAGAGGGGCAGAGGGAUCGGCCCGAAGAAGCCCCGGCAACCAUGCGUUCACCGUUCAGGUGUCGCACACGGUGCCAAUUCCGACCGGCGGAAGCCGGAAAGAUGAGGA